GAUGAACGCUGGCGGCGUGCCUAACACAUGCAAGUCGAGCGAUUCUCUUCGGAGAAGAGCGGCGGACGGGUGAGUAACGCGUGGGUAACCUGCCCUAUACACAUGGAUAACAUACCGAAAGGUAUGCUAAUACAAGAUAACAUAAGAAAUUCGCAUGGAUUUCUUAUCAAAGCUCCGGCGGUAUAGGAUGGACCCGCGUCUGAUUAGCUAGUUGGUAGGUAACGGCUUACCAAGGCGACGAUCAGUAGCCGACCUGAGAGGGUGAUCGGCCACAUUGGAACUGAGACACGGUCCAAACUCCUACGGGAGGCAGCAGUGGGGAAUAUUGCACAAUGGGCGAGAGCCUGAUGCAGCAACGCCGCGUGAGUGAUGAAGGCCUUCGGGUCGUAAAACUCUGUCCUCAAGGAAGAUAAUGACGGUACUUGAGGAGGAAGCCCCGGCUAACUACGUGCCAGCCGCCGCCGUAA
rnacentral:rRNA from 1 species